CAGCAGCCACGGUAAUACAGAGGGUGCGAGCGUUAAUCGGAUUUACUGGGCGUAAAGCGUGCGUAGGCGGCUUCUUAAGUCGGAUGUGAAAUCCCUGAGCUUAACUUAGGAAUUGCAUUCGAUACUGGGAAGCUAGAGUAUGGGAGAGGAUGGUAGAAUUCCAGGUGUAGCGGUGAAAUGCGUAGAGAUCUGGAGGAAUACCGAUGGCGAAGGCAGCCAUCUGGCCUAAUACUGACGCUGAGGUACGAAAGCAUGGGGAGCAAACAGGAUUAGAUACCCGGGUAGUCCCUGUCUCUUAUAA
rnacentral:rRNA from 1 species